AUGUUUGAAGUCUUCCCUCUGUCGGUUCCCUUUGCUCCCCGAAGGCAGCAGCUUCUCCUCAGCCCACGGGGCCAUUUCCACACCCCGGGGCCGCGCUCCCACCCACCCCACCCGCGUUUGAAGCCUCUUCCCCACCGUGUGGGGGCUGCACCCACCCCGGCCCCCCCACAACCGGCCGCCCCCUUGUCCUCCUCCCGUUACAGCGGAGCCAUGAGGGCUGCAGUCUCCUUCCUGGGGGCCCGGUUGUGCCUCCUUUUGUGCCUCCCGGUAGCGGGGCUGAACCCACCCGGUGCCGCCCGGUGCCGCCUCGCCGCCCCUUCAGCGAGCACCGGCGGCCACCGAGGGCCCGGCCCGGCCGCCCCCCGCCUCCCCUGCGGAGCCCUGCGGCGCAUGCCUCCCUCUGGCCGGGGGCAGGGAAGGAAGAACCGCCCGCCCCUGCACCGAGCUCGGCGGGCAGCGGCCGCUCGGCAGCCGGGGAACGGGGCGCGACCGAGAGGCUGCAGAGCGGCUCUCGGGGAAGCGACCGCAGGGACGCCGCUGCUUGGCCCCCUUUCGUCCCCGCCUCGGUCACCCCCGCGGAGGCAGCAGCGCACAAGUUGAGUUUCAGCAGCUGCCACUAGGAUGCUGGCCGUGGCCCGAAGGGGUGGUGUGAAAGGUAGUCUCAACGCUGUGUAAUGUUUGUAGUGCCACAGCCAUCCGAGUGUGGGGUAAUGAAGACGUCUGCCCCUUCUCUGGAAACUGUGGAAGUAGGUUAAUACGAAAUAUGUGCGUUUUUUUAAAAAAUAUAUAUAAAUUAUGAAGCUGGAAUCUUAAGUAUGUUAAUUGCAUUUCUUCAGGAUAAUUAGGUAUUCUAAUUUCUGACUGUUUGAAGCUUUGCUGCUUAUUAGAAGGAAAACCGUUUUUAAUUUAUCAUCGCCCCAGUGGAUGUGUUGGAGACUGUUUUAGAAAUUUUCUGUUCAUUCACAUUUUUCUAAAAGUUUCAGUUGUGACCUGCAUCACAGCAG
rnacentral:lncRNA from 1 species